GAUGAACGCUGGCGGCGUGCCUAAUACAUGCCAGUCGAGCGAACAGACGAGGAGCUUGCUCCUCUGACGUUAGCGGCGGACGGGUGAGUAACACGUGGAUAACCUACCUAUAAGACUGGGAUAACUUCGGGAAACCGGAGCUAAUACCGGAUAAUAUAUUGAACCGCAUGGUUCAAUAGUGAAAGACGGUUUUGCUGUCACUUAUAGAUGGAUCCGCGCCGCAUUAGCUAGUUGGUAAGGUAACGGCUUACCAAGGCAACGAUGCGUAGCCGACCUGAGAGGGUGAUCGGCCACACUGGAACUGAGACACGGUCCAGACUCCUACGGGAGGCAGCAGUAGGGAAUCUUCCGCAAUGGGCGAAAGCCUGACGGAGCAACGCCGCGUGAGUGAUGAAGGUCUUCGGAUCGUAAAACUCUGUUAUUAGGGAAGAACAAAUGUGUAAGUAACUAUGCACGUCUUGACGGUACCUAAUCAGAAGGCCACGGCCAACUACGUG
rnacentral:rRNA from 1 species